AUUGAACGCUGGCGGCAGGCCUAACACAUGCAAGUCGAGCGAGCGGCGGACGGGUGAGUAAUGUCUGGGAAACUGCCUGAUGGAGGGGGAUAACUACUGGAAACGGUAGCUAAUACCGCAUACCAUCAGAUGUGCCCAGAUGGGAUUAGCUAGUAGGUGGGGUAACGGCUCACCUAGGCGACGCUCCCUAGCUGGUCUGAGAGGAUGACCAGCCACCGUGGAACUGGGAAACGGUCCAGACUCCUACGGGGGGCAGGAGUGGGGAAUAUUGCACAAUGGGCGCAAGCCUGUUGCAGCCAUGCCGCGUGUAUGAAGAAUGCCUUCGGGUUGUAAAGUACUUUCAGCGGGGAGGCGGUACCCGCAGAAGAAGCACCGGCUAACUCCGGGCCAGCAGCCGCGGUAAUUC
rnacentral:rRNA from 1 species